ensembl:lncRNA
GAUUUCACACGAGUGCUAUCCUUACUGUGUGCAGGUUCCUUUCAAGCUGUUGAUUUUACUUCCUCAAGACAUUAGCUGAAGGUUAAUGCAGUUAAGUAAGGCUAAUCGUGCCUGGUUGUUUUGUCCUUGGAUCGUAAAGGCCACCAUUCAAACAAUGAUGCUUCAGAUGUCAUUUGAGAACCUUCCCUGAAAGCUGCGGCUCUUGUUUAUUCUUCUUUUCCUCUCCCAGUUCUCGUGCCUUUAGAAUACCCCUUCUGUUUUCCAGCAUGGUAAUUAUUUAUGGAAAUGGAUGGAAGCUCUUUCUCGGGUUCUGAUGGACCUAUGUGAGGGCUGUACUUUUGCUUUAUUCGGCCACUAAGUUCAGCCCUGUUAAGACCAUCAUCCACCUACAAAUCUGCUUCGUAUUGUAGAGCAUUGCUUUGGUGGAUCUUCUGGUCCCAUCUUGCCAUCUUUUUCGCCUUUUCUCCAGAGCUGGUUCAGAUACUAUGAUUUGCUCUGCUCGUGCACAAGACACAGAAGUGUGAUAAACCUCUGUAACAGAUCUGGGAAGUGAUUUUCUAAAGCUGACACUGGAAGGUGGGAAGGCACGUUUAAAACAUUUCCUGGGAGUUCCCGCUGUGGCUCAGUGGUUUAACAAAUCCAACUAGGAACCACGAGGUUGCGGGUUCUAUCCCUGGCCUUGCUCUGUGGGUUAAGGAUCCAGUGUUGCCGUGAGCUGUGGUGUAGUGUAGAGACGCGGCUCAGAUCCCGAAUUGCUGUGGCUCUGGCAUAGGCCGGCAGCUACAGCUCAGAUUAGACCCCUAGCCUGAGAAGCUCCAUACGCUGUGGGUGUGGCCCUAGAAAAGGCAAAAAGACAAAAAAAAAAAAAAAAAUCCCCAAAAAAACAUUUCCUAGGAGUUCCUACUGUGGCACAAUAAGUUAAAAAUCUGACCUCAGCUGUUUCGGUUGCUGUGGAGGCUUGGAUUUGAUCCAAGGUGCACUGGGUUAAGGAUCCAGCAUUGCCGAAGCUGUGUGUAGGUUGCAGCUGCAGCUUGGAUUUGAUUCCUGGCCUGGAGAACUUCCAGUUGCUGCAGGUGCAGCCAUUGAAAAAGAAAAAAAAUAUCUUUCCGUGUGCAGUGAGUUACAGUGAAGUCAGGGUCUCUGUCAGCCUGACGCGGCAGCUCUAUGAAGGUCAUUAGGUUUGUGUUUGGGGUGUUGCUAAGAAAAUUAAUAGGAAAACUGCACUUAGAAACUGAAAGGCAGAAAUGAGCUUUUCUGUUGUCUCUUUUUCCCAGGGGAGAGACCAUCCUAACGCAGAUACUGUCCAGACAGUGCCUCUCAGAAAGGGAACCUAGAGACACGCUUCCAACAUAACCGGUGCCCGGUGACGGCCCCCCCCACCGUGGGUGUCCCCACAGUCUCCCUGCCGUGACCCUGCCCGCCCCUCGGAAGAACUCCUGGCGGACACCCUGAAUCCUAGAGCCUCGGGGCGAGGGCAGAAGCUGAAGAGAGAGCCUCUCCUUGUCAUGCGUUUAAAAAUCAAGCAGAUGCUCUGCUCGAAUUACAUGCAGGUCCUCCUCGUGCGCACGUGUGCUCACCCAGCACAGUCCGUAUUUUCCUACAGUCAGCGGUCGUGUCGGCAGGCGCAGGAGGAGCUCACGCAUCUGUCUUGUUCAAGACGAGUUUGAGACACUGGAAAAAAGAUCCUCGUGUGCGUGGGACACAACGAAGCUGCCAGGCACUGUCACAGAAGCUGCAAUGCUCAGAGGACUUGGGGGGACGUCAGAGCAAAGGGGGGCGAGGUUUGCAGCAUGAGUGUGACGGCCCCUCCUUGUCUCAGUGGGUAUUUAAAUAGUGAAUAAGAGAGGGAGGAUGGGUGUGCGGGUGGUGUGGAAACAGGCUCCAUGGAGGCGGGCGGUGACCGGACCCUCCCUGGCAGGGGGGCCCAUGUGCUGAGCCCCGCUCCGUUGUGCUCAGUGAACCCGGCAGAGGUCACACGUCCACAGCAAGGCUUGUGUCCUGCUUCGGAAAAGAGAGCUAGUUGAACACUAAGAAAAGCAGGCUUCUUUGUUUAUUCUCAGGACCUUUUGGUAACAGGGCUGCACUCUGCAAACUGCUCACCACGGAAGACUGCCCGUCUUAACAAAUUAUCUAGCCACUGAACCCCUGAUUGGGACCCUUGUAGUCACAGCAGGAGAAUCCCUGAGCAGAUUGGGGGCUCAGGUCACCAGGGUCUGAGUGCUCUGGGAUUCCUCGUGCUCCCCUUCCCUGCCUCCCUGUCCAUCCGUCCCAGCAAGUAGGUGUCUUUUCUUCUUGGGCCUGGGGGCCUCUGCUGGACGAGUCCCCUCGUUCCCAGGGUGUGGAGGCCCCCAGGCCUGUGGUUGGGGCGGCUUGAUAUACCUCUUCCUCAGAUGCAAGUUUUAGUGGUGGGGUUAAGGCCCGUCACAAGGGACCUUAAACCUUGCAGUGUACGCAAAGUUGUAUUCCACAGAUAUAAAUAUUUUCUUUUCCUUUUACCGUGACACUAUGUGUGAUGGUAAUAUUUCUGAAAGUUUCAGAUUUUUGCACAUAAUGAUUUUAUGCAUUAUCAAAAGUUACUGCUGCCUUGAAUGAAAAUGUUCUGUGAAAUUUUUUGCAAAAGCUUUACUAGGUUUUUUUUUAAUUGUGACAUUUUGUAAAGGCAGGAAAUGGAUUAAAAUAAGCAUGCUAAAUAUAUUUUUCAAAAAAGCAAUAAUUUUACAUGUAUAGAAAUUAUCCUAACCUUUAAUACUGGUGAGAGCGACAGUUUACUUAAUACAGUAAUGGAUUAGUGCAGUUUUUGUAGAAAAUGGGCUUCUGAUACAAAGACUUGUUUAAACACACACACACACACACACACACACACCCACCCACCCCUGAAGUGUGGUUUUCCUGUUCUAAUGAUUUGUUGAGUUUUAUUAUUAUUAUUAUUAUUGUUGUUGUUGUUGUUGUUCUUAGUUACUGUUUGGUUUCUGGAUUCUACUUGUUACUGAAUUUAAAUUACUUGACGGUUCAGGUUACCUUGCAACAUUUGCAAACAAUGCAAUGUAACUGGCUAGCUUCUAUAUAUAUAUAUUAUAUACAUGUAUACACACACACAUGUAGACACAGAGAUACGUGCGUGUGUGUGUAUAUAUAUAAUUUUUUUACUUAUUUUUUCCUGCUUCUCUUUUGCCGGAUAUGUUCCAGAACGAUCUGUCCUGUUGGUGUGUUCCGAGGGUCUGUGCAGAUGCUCCUCAGCCACUGUCCUUGACUGUUCUGUAAAGUUACUUUGAGCAAAGUUGCAGACACAUUCCCCUGCUCACCUUCGAAAUCAAAAUGCCACUCUGUUGACUUCCGUUUGAUCCUGUCUCUGGCCUCCCCACGGUGGUCAUUUCUGCAUUUUCUUGGCUGAAAGUGAAGGGUGACAGUUCAGGAGCGCACAGGGGCUAGAGCUGCGGGCUGUCUGUUUCUCUGCAUUUUAGUUAUUAAAAGGAACUCUGGACCCAAAGUGACACAGAUGAGUCAUGUACCUUCUUGCUGUUUCAGAAGCAGCCUGUGGAGUCACAGUGUCACCCCGGGGGCUCCUUUGCAGGGGCCUGGGGGAGAGAGGGGGCACAUCCCCAGGGAAAACCGUGUGCUGCCAGGAGCACAGAUGGAAGGUUUUCACUUAAUUCAGCAGGCGGGGAAGGGACCCCAGAGAACGCCACCCUCUGAGAGAAGCCCUUUGCGGGAGACUGUGGCCCCUCCCUCUUUCACUGCCCAUCAGUAUUUUAUUGGUUUGUUAAUGCAUUUAUGUCAGUUCAACCAUAGUAUUUAAUAUGAUUUGUGUUUUCUUAUUUAUUUAGCUGAUAUGUCUUGAUUCGCUUUUUUUUCGAAUGAUAAUUUCCGCAUGGUCUCUCCUGUAAGUCACCUUCUGACUGUUACAGACUUUCUACCUCUACCAAUCUGCUGUUUCCUUGUUUCUUAACAGGAUUUCACAGUGUUGGCGUCCAGUGUAACUUAGACAAUAAAGGGUUUGGUUGUCUACACUGCAGCUUCUCCUGGUUGUCUACACUGCAGCUUCUCUGUGUGGCGCCCUACCCCCACCUACGCCCUCCCUUCCCUGCUCACACCUCUUAUUCAUUGUCGCGCUCAAAUAAUACAGAUAAUGAGCUUAUAGAAAUCUUUCAGGUUAUUCACUCAUAUUCCUUAAUUUGAAGAAUGAACAUUGAAAUGCUCUAAAAAAAAAUCAGCUGUUUAGCAUCUAAACCCGGUCAUUGUCCACUGCUCUGUCACUUCUCUUACCUGGUUCCUGCAAGGGCUUAGGGUGAUCUCAGAGGCUACCUUUCACCUGGGUGAUUUACAACACAAUACUGAUUUGCAAGCCAAACCGGAUUUUUGCCUUUUUAGGAAAAGUAUUCAGUGCUUUAAGAGAUUCCCCCCUAAGAUUUCCUUAUUUAUUUUUAAACCAAGAGAGACACUAGUUUCUUGAAACCCAGGUGCUCCAGCAAAGGGCCCCGGGAAUUACACAGGCCACUUUGGUGAAGUUAGGGAGCACUGAUUUUGCCCAGUACGUCAAGAGCCAUCCUCAAAUUUGGCCAUUCUGUCCCAGGCCAUACAGUGUUGCACAAACAUGACGUAAAGGCACAUACACACGCAGGGUCCUCACUCCGCAAGUCCCUGGGACCCCGAGCUGAGGGGGUUGGAUGCAGCAGGUUGCAGGCAUUGCCUCUUGCUGCCUCCCCAGGGAGCUGGCUCAGGUAGCUGCACCAUUCCACCGGGAGUUAGCGAGUGGCUCAGGGGAUGUGUCUUCUGUUCUCAGAAAGGUCUGGGCUUGAAAGGACACUGCACCUCCUGGGGUUUCUUGUCCAGAUGCUCUGUACCAAUGUUCCAUCUUUAAAACAGACAUGGCCCCGCCCUAGAGGUUUGCACGAGGCACAAAAGAGGACUGCGUUCGCCUGCCUUGACUUUCCCACUUUCAGCAUGUCUCCGUGUCUGAAGGAGCGGCGAUUGUUUCACUGCUUGUAACUUGGCUGGGUUCUAAGAACGUUUUACAUGCUGAGCAAAAAAGAAAGAAAACGCAAGUCACAGACCAGGACAUCCAGUGACGUUCCGGUGCUCUGUAGCGUGUCUCUGUGAAGUGACCGAGGGGAAAUGUUCAUUCUUCAACUUUGCUAAUUAUGCUUUGAGGCAGUAAAAUGCAAAAGACCAUAGAAUUUGUAUUUCUUUUUAAAAAUACAAUUUAUAACAUUAUAUUUUGUACUCUUUAUAUUAGAAUUUGUAACUAGAUUGAUGUAUUUAACUCUAUUUCUGAAAAAAUAAUUCAAUGUUUCAGUUGUGUGAUAAAAAUAUUUAGAUAAAACAUAUUCAUUCUAUUGGAAUUUGAAAUCAAUAAAAACAUCUUGGAGUUCUUGAG